rnacentral:tRNA from 1 species
GCCGUUGUAGCUCAGUGGCAGAGCGGCUGAUUCGUAAUCAGCAGGUCGGGGGUUCAAUCCCCUCCAACGGCU